GCGUUAUUUUUCAAUGUAUUGAUAUGUUCCAAAAAACAAAAGAAAACCAACAACAAAAAAAAUCGUCGAUAAUUGUUCUAAAAAUGAGCAAACAAAACCAAGCAAACAUAAUAUUAAUCAAUAAAGUUAGCUGCUAACUCGCCAGAUAUUUUAUAAAAAUUUGAACAUCAGGGCAUUGUCAGAAUAAUUUUAGAUGAUUUUACGCUCUGUGUAUUACCUAAAAUGUUAUUAAGACAAUCAACAAUUUCAUAAAUGUAUAUGAAUUCAUUUUCUAUAAUUGCAUUUUGUUCGUAUUCAAGUGAGAUGAAAGCAUGAUUAUUAGUUUCAGAGUAACUUUUGUAUUAACAUUUCAUUUACAACGGAUCACAUAUAAUGAUUAGCAAAUACGAGACUUCCUAUCUAAAUUUCCAACUAUACUUUACUCAACAAUUAUAAUAUUUGUUGACUAAAUACGUUCAAAAAGGCUAAAAUAUUUAAUUAUUUCAACAAUAAUAGUUUUACUAAAUUAUAAUUUAUACAUAUUUAAAUAGUUCUAACUGCUAAUUUAUUCAUUGUAACAUAGAAAGACACUUACGUUUAUGACUAUAAUCUGCAGUUCGAAUCGAUAAAACAAUUUCGUUAGGGCAGAAGUACAAAAUAUUACACGCGAAGUAAUAUUGUAUAUUUAACAAAACUAACCGAUAAUUUUAUUUUUUGAACGGAUUAAAUUUCCUAUAGCUUAAUUGAUGAUUUUCGAUCCACAAGUUGAUAAAAACUCAUGGGUUAUAUAUCAUAAAAAUUGCCAUGUACGUGAUUACAAAGAAACACACUCAAGUUUAAUUAGAGAUUUUUGUGAUAUACUUGAUGAAUCACAUCUGUGUAUAUUAUCUGCAAGACCCUAUUAAUAUGAAUAUUGAUCGAACCGGCACCCACAUUUCUCUAAUUAAAAAUUUAUAAAAUGUUUAAUGCUGAUUUUUAUCGCUUCUCGUUCACAUUAAUUUUUAUUUUAUUUUUUUCUUCUUCUUUAGGAUUUAACUAUUAUUAUAUAUUUUUUUUUUCUUUUGACUUUUAGGAACUCCAGAAAAUCGUCCAAGCAGAAAUUCAGCAGAUAGAUUUAACUUUCCUAAAAACAUUACAGGACAGUGGAAUUCAAGUUUUUCUAAUCGAACCACGUCUUCUAUUAUAUUUUUUGAAUGAAGAUGAUUUAAAAAUUUUAGAAAAAAGAGAAGUUAGAACGAAGCAUUUUUAUGAACGCUUUAACAUAACUAGUUAUGGAAUUUUUGAAAAUAGUUCUAAUAGUAUAAAUGAUAAUGUGGUCUCCUUAUUUGAGCAUUUGGGAUAUCGCUAUUAUAAAGAGAAAUCUCUAGAUUUUAGAGAAAUACAUUGGGAUGAAAAUAGAAGCCAAAGUCUUUCAAUCACUUCUCAUCAUUUUUUCAU